GUGGAUCCAGAUAUAUCUACCCCAGUAAUGGGGAUUCCUUUACCAGCUGCCUGGAUUCCUAGCUGGCUCUCAGACCAUCUCCCAUCUCCCCAAGGGUCACAGGAGAAGAAGAGAAGGCAACCACUUUUGAACAGUUUGAUGUACAGACAAGCCUGAUAAUCUCAAUGUGCUGUGCUUUCACUCUUUGAAUAAUGAUCAAGAAGAAAAAGUCCAACUACGUUCAGUAGAAUUUAUGCCCAGACUGUUGUGAUCUUCUUCUCCCUGAUGUUCCAUGGUUUCACUUUGGUCUGAUCAUAUGAAAUAAGGUGGUUUACGCAAUGCUGAAAUUUCAUGCAUUACUGGUGAAGAAGAUGGGAAGAUGCCCUGGUUCAUCUUGUGGGAAAUUGUGAGAAAGACACACACAAAAAGACGACGACAGAGCUUAAUCCUGUCAGAGACUUCAGUAAAAUGCCUAUACAAUGGCUCAGGUAGCAUGUAAUGCUAAGCUAAACCAUGGUUUAAUGUGAAUGCACAAGUGUGAGGACUCCUAGAGAGGAGAUCAUGGCUGCUUUAGUCAUCAUCAUCCAAUACUGUUGUACUGCUGCAAUGCUGUGAUCUAAGCUAUGGUUUGGCUAGAGGAGGAGGAGCAAAGCAUCCAUGAUCUCUUCUCCAAGAACCCUUGCUCAUUACUGAGUUCAGUUUUGGGGGUAAAUCUACAUGCAUGGUGAAGGUGAUCACCACAGAAGCAGUGGAAUGGAAUGGAAGAAAAACUGCAGCACCCAAGUUCAUUUACCCUCCCUCCUCCAUUCAGUUUAACUUUGAUUCAACCAUUUCAGUUUCUGGGAUAGUUGCAAAUUAGCACACACAAACACACAAGCAGGGCUGCCCCUUCCAUUGGGCAGAGUGAGGCGUUUACCUCAGGCAGCAGAUCUUGGGAAUCAUGAAAAGAUGACAAAGUGUUUGUUAUUUGAUUUAUUUUUGUUGUGGGGGGAAGUGCUUGUGGGAUUUUCAGCUGCCAAAAUAACUUGACUGGCCUUGGGCAUGAUACACCUCGAUUUAGUGGUGGGGAGGGGCACCAUUUGCUUAGGCACCAAAAUGCCUUUGGCCAGCACGGAUACCAAGGGCUAGAUGUUGAAGCACUUCAGAGCAAUUCAUCUUCUUACAAUACAUUGAGUAUGAAAGGCACAGGUUAGAGGGGCAAUGUUUUACACAUUUUUAAAACCUUUGGAAAAAACUUUUGAUGACCACAAAUAUGUAGGAAGAUUAAAACCCAAUUUGUUGCUCUGACCACUGUAAUGAAAAAAGUUAAUAAAAAGCAA